AAAAGGAUCUUCCACUGGAAGGGUAAGUUUGAUUAAUUGAAUAUUCAUAUGGAAGUGUUUGGUUUCUAAUUUUCUAUUCCUUUGUUAUGUAGUAAUAUUCUUUUUAAUUUCAUUCUGGCAUGUUGAUUUUGGAAAGCGUAAUUUGAUCAUGGUAUAAUAAUUCACUCAAAUUUCCAUACUCAGGGGCUACCAAUCAUGGAGAACAUUUUAGUUCUGAAUCAAGUAAAUCCUUUACGACUACUAAGUAUUCGGCUCCUCCUCCAACUCCAAGUGACAGCGAAAUAUUACAGUCUUCCAAAGCAAAUAAUUUCAGCUACCUAGAACUCAAAGUUGCCACCAAAAAUUUCUGCGUGGAUAAUGAAUUGGGAAG
rnacentral:lncRNA from 1 species